rnacentral:rRNA from 1 species
AUUGAACGCUGGCGGCAGGCCUAACACAUGCAAGUCGAGCGAGCGGCGGACGGGUGAGUAAUGUCUGGGAAACUGCCUGAUGGAGGGGGAUAACUACUGGAAACGGUAGCUAAUACCGCAUACCAUCAGAUGUGCCCAGAUGGGAGUAGCUAGUAGGUGGGGUAAUGGCGCACCUAGGCGACGAUCCCUAGCUGGUCUGCGAGGAUGACCAGCCACAGUGGAACGGUGACACGUGCCAGACUCCUACGUGAGGCACGAGUGGGGAAUAUUGCACAAGGGGCGCAAGCGUGAUGCAGCCAUGCCGCGUGUAUGAAGAAGGCCUUCGGGUUGUAAAGUACGUUCAGCGGGGAGGCGGUACCCGCAGAAGAAGCACCGGCUAACUCCGUGCCAGCAGCCGCGGUAAUUC